AUGACGGUCGCCGAGCUUCUCCGCGCCCAGCUCGAGGAGCAGAGGAUCGAGGGAGAUGAGCCUAUCCUUGAGGAGGAGGAUGACGAUGAUGAAGACGAUGACGAGGAUGAGGAUGAAAAAGAUGACGAUCGCGUUGAGGGUGGUGAUGCUGGUGGAAGUUCUAGGCAGAGUAGGAGUGAGAAGAAGAGCAGAAAAGCCAUGGAGAAGCUUGACAUGAAGGCCAUUAUUGGUGUGAGCCGUGUAACUAUCAAGAAGAGCAAGAACGUUGUGUAUGUCCUCUCCAAGCCAGACGUCUUCAAGAGCUCGCAGUCAGACACCUACGUCAUGUUCGGGGAGAUCAAGGUCGAGGACCCGAGCACUGAGCUGCAGACACAAGCGGCGGAACAGUUCAAGGCACCAGGCCUGAGCAGUGUGGUCUCAAAGGGCGAGCCGUCCGUGGCAGCAGCCCAGGACGAUGAGGAGGUCGACGACACUGAUGUUGACAAGAAGGCUUCCCUCCUGAAAAAUACUGGGAGGCUCGAACUCCUAAGGUUCCAUACGAUUUCUCGAGAUGAUGCGUUUCCGUAUGCCUUCCAUUCAUAUUUCAUAGUGGAUUGCAUCGUCUAUUGUCACAUCUCUCUCUUUCUCCCUCUCUCCCUCCAUCUCCCUAUCUCCCUCCCUCCCUCUCUCUACCCUUGA
rnacentral:rRNA from 1 species